CUACGGGGCGCUGCAGUUAAGAAUCUUCCGCAAUGGACGAAAGUCUGACGGAGCGACGCCGCGUGCGGGAUGAAGGCCUUCGGGUUGUAAACCGCUGUCAGUGGGGAGGAAAUGCAUCAGGGUUCUCCCUGGUGUUUGACCGAUCCGCAGAGGAAGCGCAGGCUAAGUUCGUGCCAGCAGCCGCGGUAACACGAACUGCGCGAACGUUAUUCGGAAUCACUGGGCUUAAAGAGUUCGUAGGCGGCCUUUCAAGUCGGGUGUGAAAUCCCUCGGCUCAACCGAGGAAUUGCGCCUGAUACUGUUGGGCUUGAGGGGGAUAGGGGUGAGCGGAACUGAUGGUGGAGCGGUGAAAUGCGUUGAUAUCAUCAGGAACACCGGUGGCGAAGGCGGCUCACUGGAUCUCUUCUGACGCUGAGGAACGAAAGCUAGGGGAGCGAACGGGAUUAGAUACCCGUGUAGUC
rnacentral:rRNA from 1 species